rnacentral:rRNA from 1 species
UACAGAGGUCUCAAGCGUUGUUCGGAUUUAUUGGGCGUAAAGGGUGCGUAGGCGGCGCGGUAAGUCGGGUGUGAAAUCUUGGAGCUUAACUCCGAAACUGCAUUCGAUACUGCCGUGCUUGAGGACUGGAGAGGAGAGUGGAAUUUACGGUGUAGCGGUGAAAUGCGUAGAUAUCGGAAGGAAGACCAGUGGCGAAGGCGGGUCUCUGGACAGUUCCUGACGCUGAGGCACGAAGGCGAGGGGAGCAAACGGG